CCGGUUAUAGUAACUCGCACAAAUGCCUUCGGGACUUAGCCCGGUUAUAGUAACUCGCACAAAUGCCUUCGGGCUUAGCCUGGAAUUAGUCACUAGCACAAAUGCCUUCGGGACUUAGCCCGGUUAUCAUCCGAAUAUCCAUGCACAUAUCAAUAAAUCAUGACACAUCUAUAUUUCAUUUUCAUAACUAGAAUUCAAACACAAGUCACUUAUCAAGCAUUAUCAUUUUCGGCUCAAUAGUUACAUACAAAGAGCAUGAUUUUGAUUUACUUAAAACAUGAUCUAAUCGAAUCAUAAUCUAAGAUCCAUUACUCAAAAACUUACCUCGGAUGUUGUCGAACGAUUUCAGCGGCUAUUCGAUCACUUUUUCCUUUCCCUUAUCCAACUUUGGUCCUCUAAGCUCUUGAGCUAAUUCAAACAAAUUUAACUUAUUAAAGUCUCAUUAUGCUAGCUUAUGGCCGAAUAUG
rnacentral:lncRNA from 1 species